CUUUUUAGGGUUAAAACGUCAACAUUUUAGACGAGUCUUUUAUUUUUAAGGAUUGAUGUCAUUUUGACGUCUCUUAUUUUUAGAAACC
rfam:Populus trichocarpa isolate Nisqually-1 chromosome 6, whole genome shotgun sequence.